AUUAGUCUAGCAGUUCACCGCAACCUACUUCGGCUCUACGGAUUUUGCAUGACAGCGACUGAAAGGCUUUUGGUUUACCCCUACAUGUCCAAUGGUAGUGUUGCUAAUCGACUUAAAGGUAGCGCGAGAGAAAUCAUCUCUGCUAUUAAAUUCCAUUUAUGAAAUACCAACAAUCAUAUACAAUGAAACGCAUAUCAUAUGCAUUGUCCAAUACCAAUUCUAAAUGUUCAAAUAAGGUAAAAUUUACCUUAGAAUAAUGUUGGUGAUUUCUGAUGUUUGCAGCCAAACCAGCCUUGGAUUGGGGAACGAGGAAAAGGAUAGCUUUAGGAACAGCUAGGGGAUUAUUGUAUUUGCACGAGCAAUGUGACCCGAAGAUAAUUCAUAGGGAUGUUAAAG
rnacentral:lncRNA from 1 species